AUGGCGUGCCUUUUGUAGAAUGAACCGGCGAGUUACGAUUUGAUGCAAGGUUAAGCAGUAAAUGUGGAGCCGUAGCGAAAGCGAGUCUGAAUAGGGCGUUUAGUAUUUGGUCGUAGACCCGAAACCAGGUGAUCUACCCUUGGUCAGGUUGAAGUUCAGGUAACACUGAAUGGAGGACCGAACCGACUUACGUUGAAAAGUGAGCGGAUGAACUGAGGGUAGCGGAGAAAUUCCAAUCGAACCUGGAGAUAGCUGGUUCUCUCCGAAAUAGCUUUAGGGCUAGCCUCAAGUGAUGAUUAUUGGAGGUAGAGCACUGUUUGGACGAGGGGCCCCUCUCGGGUUACCGAAUUCAGACAAACUCCGAAUGCCAAUUAAUUUAACUUGGGAGUCAGAACAUGGGUGAUAAGGUCCGUGUUCGAAAGGGAAACAGCCCAGACCACCAGCUAAGGUCCCAAAAUAUAUGUUAAGUGGAAAAGGAUGUGGCGUUGCCCAGACAACUAGGAUGUUGGCUUAGAAGCAGCCAUCAUUUAAAGAGUGCGUAAUAGCUCACUAGUCGAGUGACACUGCGCCGAAAAUGUACCGGGGCUAAA
rnacentral:rRNA from 1 species